GCAGAUCUCAUUCCUAAACCCAUGGUGUGCUAAGGAAGCACGCCAGUGUACCCGGAAACCAAACAGAGCCUUUGUAGACAGUGAGAGAAGAAAAAGGGUGGGGUGCCUGCUGGACUUUUGCAAGUCAAUAUUCAUUCAUUCAACAAAUGGUUGAGUGCCUACUAUGUGCUCAGGUAUCUCUUAGGCUUGAAUCAUUGCGACAUAUACAGGAAAAAGUGAAAUAGGACAGUAUACUCCAUGUACAAGUCCUUGAUUUUUCAAUAAAGUUUUUUUUGCUUGUUUGUUUUUUGUUUUUUUUUUUUUGAGACAGAGUCUUGCUCUGUCACCCAGACUGGAGGGCAGUGGCACGAUCUCGGCUCACUGCAACCUCCGCCUCCUGGGUUCAAGCGAUAUUCCUGCCUCACCCUCCCGAGAAGCUGGAAUUACAGGCAUGCGCCACCACACCCAGGUGAUAUUUUUGCAUUUAUUUUUUAGUAGAGACGGGGUUUCGCCGCGUUGGCCAGGCUGGUCUCCAACUCCUGACCGCAGGUGAUCUGCCCGCCUUGGCCUCCCAAAGGAGGCCCUUGGCCUGGGAUUACAGGCGUGAGCCACCGU
rnacentral:lncRNA from 1 species